rnacentral:rRNA from 1 species
GACGAGCGCUGGCGGCGUGCUUAACACAUGCAAGUCGAACGGUGACGCACCUUCGGGUGCUGAUCAGUGGCGAACGGGUGAGUAACACGUGGGCAACCUGCCCCUGACUCUGGGAUAACUCCUCGAAAGAGGUGCUAAUACCGGAUAUCACCCCCCUCGGCAUCAGGGGGGGUUGAAAGAACUUCGGUCAGGGAUGGGCCCGCGGCCUAUUAGCUAGUUGGUGUGGUAAUAGCAUACCAAGGCCAUGAUCAGUAGCUGUUCUGAGAGGAUGAUCAGCCACACUGGGACUGAGACACGGCCCAGACUCCUACGGGAGGCAGCAGUGAGGAAUUUUCCGCAAUGGGCGAAAGCCUGACGGAGCAAUGCCGCGUGAAGGAUGACAGCCUGUGGGUUGUAAACUUCUUUUCUUAGAGAAGAAUUUUGACGGUAUCUAAGGAAUAAGCAUCGGCUAACUCUGUGCCAGCCGCCGCCGUAACAC